rnacentral:rRNA from 1 species
AUUGAACGCUGGCGGCAGGCCUAACACAUGCAAGUCGAACGAGUGGCGGACGGGUGAGUAAUGUCUGGGAACCUGCCCGAUGGAGGGGGAUAACUACUGGAAACUGUAGCUAAUACCGCAUACCAUCGGAUGUGCCCAGAUGUGAUUAGCUAGUGGGUGGGGUAACGGCUCACCAAGGCGACGCUCCCUAGCUGGUCUGAGAGGAGGACCAGCCACCGUGGGACUGAGAAACGGUCCAGAAUCCUACGGGAGGCAGCAGUGGGGAAUAUUGCACAAUGGGCGCAACCCUGAUGCAGCCAUGCCGCGUGAAUGAAGAAGGCCUUCGGGUUGUAAAGUACUUUCAGUGAGGAGGCGUUACUCGCAGAAGAAGCACCGGCUAACUCCGUGCCAGCAGCCGCGGUAAUAC